rnacentral:rRNA from 1 species
UACGUAGGGUGCAAGCGUUAUUCGGAAUUACUGGGCGUAAAGCGUGCGCAGGCGGCUUUGCAAGACAGAUGUGAAAUCCCCGGGCUUAACCUGGGAACUGCAUUUGUGACUGCAAGGCUAGAGUACGGUAGAGGGGGAUGGAAUUCCGCGUGUAGCAGUGAAAUGCGUAGAUAUGCGGAGGAACACCGAUGGCGAAGGCAAUCCCCUGGACCUGUACUGACGCUCAUGCACGAAAGCGUGGGGAGCAAACAGG